GAUGAACGCUGGCGGCGUGCCUAAUACAUGCAAGUCGAGCGAACAGACGAGGAGCUUGCUCCUCUGACGUUAGCGGCGGACGGGUGAGUAACACGUGGAUAACCUACCUAUAAGACUGGGAUAACUUCGGGAAACCGGAGCUAAUACCGGAUAAUAUAUUGAACCGCAUGGUUCAAUAGUGAAAGACGGUUUUGCUGUCACUUAUAGAUGGUUCCGCGCCGCAUUAGCUAGUUGGUAAGGUAACGGCUUACCAAGGCAACGAUGCGUAGCCGACCUGAGAGGGUGAUCGGCCACACUGGAACUGAGACACGGUCCAGACUCCUACGGGAGGCAGCAGUAGGGAAUCUUGCGCAAUGGGCGAAAGCCUGACGGAGCAACGCCGCGUGAGUGAUGAAGGUCUUCGGAUCGUAAAACUCUGUUAUUAGGGAAGAACAAAUGUGUGAGUAACUAUGCACGUCUUGACGGUACCUAAUCAGAAAGCCACGGCUAACUACGUG
rnacentral:rRNA from 1 species